CAGAGGCCACCUCACUGACCCCUGGUUCCACCUCUGCUUUAUAGCAGGCAAAACAACUGGCCUUUUCAGAGGCAGUCUGGAUUCUGGAGUCACACCUCUGUCCCACUAUCUCCCUCACCCUUCCUCCCCAGGAAGAAGAAAGGAACCUACAUGGUCCGGGCCCACUGCCUUGCCCUGAAUUACAAGUAUUGCUCCAGACUCACGUCACGGGCAAGGUGGGAGGAUAACACAUGACAACACCCCUGGAGACCCACCAUCUGCCAGCUGCGGCAGGAGCUGCACACACCUUAUCUCAAAGGACCAUAACCCCUGAUUCUGGUGGCCAAGAAGUCAACUUGAGGGGUGAAGCCAAUAUUCAAAAAAGGAAACAGACCCUGGCACAGUUCUUGAAGCUGGAACUUUCACUCCUCCCUGCAGCUCUUUGCACAGCUGGCUCCUGGCACCCACCAAGUCGGGGCGUGG